GUUUGUUGCUAACAAUUUGUUGCUAACAUUAGUAACAUCAGGUUGGGGGGAAUGAGAAGAGUUUUCUAUUUCCCUCAGGAACAGAGAGAACAUUUGGCCUGCACUUGGACGUCUCAUACCCUAAUUUGCUUCCGGAAUAGAUUAUUCGUGAAGUGUAUCAUGGAGCUUUCCAUUUGGUUUCUUUAUCCAAAGAAGGCCUAGUACAAGCUUGGGGUGAUUCAAUGACAUUUCUUAAUUCCCUUCCUAGAAAUUCAUUUUUGUUUAUGUUUGUAAAUUUCAUGUACAUUGUCGUUGCAUGUAUAGAGAUGACAUGGCUAAUUUGGUUUGAAUUCUAUUAAUGUAAUAUUACUUUUUAUUGAUUAAUUUUUUUAAAUGACAUUUACAUAUUUUUGUUAA